rnacentral:sRNA from 1 species
GCCGGGCGAGGUGGCGCACGCCUGUAGUCCCAGCUACUUCGGAGGCUGAGGCAGGAGAAUGGCUUGAACCCAGGAGGCGGAGCUUGCAGUGAGCGGAGAUCGCCCCACUGCACUCCAGCCUGGGCAACAGAGCCAGACUCCGUCUCAA